AAAACCUAGUAUUUUAUAUUUGAAAAGAAGUGGAAACCCAUCCCCGUCUUAUUCUCUGCGUCAAAACUUAUUCCCAUUUUCCCACAUGCUGAUCAUGGAGCGGUGAUCCUUGCCUCAACACCAAUAAAAAGGAAGUGAAGUGCAGAUCUGACACACCAUUUCCCCCCGGGUGUUUUCUCCUGCUCCGACACAAUAUUCGUCACCGAUUACGGGUCGAAGGAAAUUUCGGUAAAUUUCGGGAAAUUUCCGGAUAUUUCCUACCAGUCCAGCCCGCGCACAGGAUACAAAAUCUGUCCAAUUUUUUUUUUUUAUAAAAAAACAUAAGAUGCUAUUUGGUAAUCUGAUCAUGAUUUGCAGGGAAAAGUUGUGUUUUUCAGCCUGGCUCAAAAAUCGUGGAUUUAGGGUUCGUGAAAUUUAAAUCCAAUGGCACAAAAGCAAAGAGACCCCUAGAACAGAUCCCGAAAGCACAGGGAGCCAAAAAAAAAAAACAAAGCAAUUUUUUUUUGGUUUUCCUUGGGGGUUUUGCAUGGAUUUUCUCGGAAAUCAAACGAGGAUGAAUUUUCCCGGAAAUCGAAUGGGGGAUGGGUUUUCUUGGGAAUCAAACGCUUUUGCAUGUCUUAUAGCUUUUGUGUACUCUUAAAAAAAGAAAGAAAAAAGAAUGAAAAAAAAAAGUGAAAUACGAAGGAACAGAAAAAACACAAAGAAGAAAAAAGAAGUCGUGGUGGACGCGUGGUGAUGGUGGGAACCGAGAAGAAGUUAAAAAAAGAGAAGACAGAGGAAAGGAGCAUCCCUGAGAGACUUAGCUUCUGGCUGCUGUGACGACGAAGUGGAGGACACCAAAGAGAAGCUGCCGCCGGAGAGAGUGCCGAUCUUCAAAAGUGAUGGUGGCGCCGACGUAUGUGAGAGGAGGAGUUUAAGAAGAGGUAUUGUCAUUUUGGCAGCCAAUUUGGAUUCCCAUUCCCAUGACUUGUUCUGCAACUUUGUUCUUCAUAUCUUAAACUGCAAUGCAGUACUUCAGUCUCUGGUGGCCCUUGUUAGUUGUCUGCAACAAGUGCUCUGCAAUAUGCUCUCCUUUCAGAGGUUGAAAUAGGUACUUUCAGAGGACGACUAAAACCGAGACCAUGCAUUUUUUUUGUAAGGAUGGAAAUGGUUGGUGAAUCUCAACUUUUUGUUCGAUGAGUCAUCCAUGGGUCAUCCAACAAGAAGAAAGGCACGUCCAUUAGAUCUUUAAAGAAUUUCUUAUAAAGAAAGCGGUUGUGAAUAGGACCCAGUUCUUCUUUUGUGAAAUUAUCCAAGAUGUUAGAAAAAAGGGUUGCAUUGGAUUAAAGGAGGCCGUUUCUUGGGAUUCCCUUGAAGUGGGGCUGCUUCAAAGGAAAUUGUAGGAUCGAUUUAUAUGAAAGCAAGUAUAAUUUGGAUAACUCAAACCACCUAUGUCAAAGUUUCUUACGGGGAAGAUAGGUGGAUUAUUUGCUUAGAGAAGACUUAAAGUGGCAUAAAUUGGCUCAAAAGUUGAUCAAAACUGUGUUUGUGCAAAGUCAGUUGUAUGGAUCACCAUUCAGUUUCUCAUUGACAAAAAUUUAUACAAAGGUUUUUACUGUGCAGAGCAUUGUUUGCUUUAAGUAAAUACAUCUGAUGAAGCAGAGGAGAAGAAAUAUUUGUGUUUGAAUCACAUUUGAGAUUGAGAGAGAGCCUGUUGAAGACAGUUGAAGGCCUUUUGGUAAUUCAAGAACCCCAUAAACCAGAAAUUAAAAUUAUCAACGGCCAUGCAGCUGAUUAAAGAUCCAUCAUCCUUCUCUAAAUGCCUUUUGCCCACACACCAAGGCCUGCUGACCACCAUCCUUUCAAUUGUUUCUGAAGAAGAGAUCUGCCAUGCCAUUGCCAUAUCAGCCCACUCUCCCACAUGUCAAACAAGGAUUCAACUCUAGAAUUUUCAGUUUUUGAUUCUGGUGGAAAAAGCAUUCCAUGGUUUCAGGAACCCCAGAAACAUAAAAUUCCUGUCAAUGCCACAUAAUAACAAUCAGCACCAGGGAUUUUCUAUACUAAAAUAUUGAGAGAAACACAUGAUGAUCGAUGUGUACCAUUCAAAGUCAUUGAAUAUAGGCUGCUAUCAACAAAAUUAUGAUUAGCUGGGGCAAGGGCAUCUCUUCUUUCAUCGAAUGUUACACAAAUUUGAGUGCAAUUUGCAGUAUCGAGUUCCAGCAACAAAAACCAGCAGUAUGAUAAAUUGGCUCCAAGUUGAGUUGAAUCUAUGCAGACUUAAUCAUAAUGGUGUAUUUCUCUUGGAUUAAGAGUUUUAGGCCAUUCAGAUGCGCUGUUUUUGCUUCUAGUGAGUACAUCUAAUGAGGCAGAGGGAAAAAGCUAUUCUGCUUGAAUCACUUCUGGGUUUAUUUGCAACUCGUUCAAGAUAGAAAGAGUGCCUGUUGAAGACAGUUGAAAGCUUUCUGGUAAUUCAAGAACCCCAUAAACCAGAACUCAAAAUUAUCCACAGUGACUAUUUCCAUGUACUUCUCAGAUGGGUUUUUCAUAUUCUCACUUUGCUCUACUCUCCUUAUCUUUCUGAGUGGGAUUGAGACCUGCAUAAAACAAAUUUUUUACAGAGAUGUUGACAAGCAUGGACAGAUCAUAGAUAUCGAUAUAUUGAGAGAGUUAUGUGAGUAAGCCACCUUGUAAUGGACUCUAACCAAGUCAGCAUUUGGAGAGGAAAAUUUGAUUGAUCUAUCACUGCAAAAUGCAACCCUUUGUGUAGAGAUAAAGAGGAGGCCAGCUAUAGGACCAGCUGUUGUCGAUAAAUAUGAUUGAGAAGCAUUCAGCAGCUUCUCUCCUUCUAUAACACUGAAAAUUUUCUUGAAAACUCUCUUCACCCCUCCUAGUUGAAGAAUCCUAGCCCCCAAGGUCAACUUCCCCUUCACAGUGUCAGAGAUCUUAGGACCUAUUUUCACUGCAGUUUACAAAAAAGUAAACCAAAUUUCGUUAUGAUAUGAUAUUGUCUCAAAACAUUUUGAUGUUAUGAUUUCCAAAUUUUCUGUUCUUUUUCACCUUGUUUCUACUAGCUAAACAAAGCAAAUGAAAUGCAUGGACUACAUGUAGACCUGCAUCUCUAUAGAAAGUAAGAUGCCCAGGAGAUAUGUUUCAAUUCUCAGUGAAGACAUGCUUUUAGGUUUUGGGGACAUGAAGAAGAAGAGGAUCAAAGUAGUUACCAUGCUCUCUGAUUCCAUGCAUGAAAUUAUCGACCUUCUCCCCAUGGUUGUUCAUCACAUUCUUCUUUCUAUCGACUUUAUCUGCAAUUUGAAUGACAGGCCCAUUAGCAAAAGGACUUAUAUUGAAGUCUUCCAGAACCAGACCUGACAUGCAAUGUAGAAAAAAUGUGGUUGAGUGUGCUUGAAAGAGAGAGAGUCUUACUAUGAGUUAGUCCCAGAGAUGGAUUUGAAGAAGAGGGAUUCUCAUUUUGGCAGCUAACUGGAAUUCCAAUGACGUGUCCUGCAAGAUGAUUCUUCAUAUCUCAACCUGCAGUUCAGUGCUUCUCUCCCUGAUGGUCUUGCUGGUGGUCCGCAACAAGUGCUCAGCAAUAUCCUGCCCAUCAGAGGUUGAUGAGGCCCUGGAGAAUGCAAGUGAAUUUAAAGGGAUGAAAAUGGUUGGUGAAUCCUUAAUCUUUUAGUUGGAUGAGUCAUUCAUGGGUCAGCAACAAAAAGAAGGGCACCGACAUGAGAUCUUUAUAGAAGUAUUUUCACAUUUCUAAAAGCUGUUCAAACAUUCAAUCCUAACUUGCAACAUAUGCCAUGUCCUUUUUCUUGUGCUGACUGAUGAUUCAUGAAUGAAGAUUUCUGAGCUGGCUUGUAGGCAA